rnacentral:rRNA from 1 species
UUUGCCACACAUUGCAUGUUUGAUGAGAAUGCGGUGCUAAAUGACUUGCAGACAACCUGAUUCUGGGUCAGGGUUUUAUAAGUAGCAGAGCAACUACCUCGCUGUAAUCUAUUGAAAGACAGCCCUUGAUCCAACCUUUUGUCGGCCGAGGUCUGGUGCCCCAGGAUGCUUCCUCCACCCUCUACCUGAGAACCGGGGGCCGACCCAGCUGGACGGCCCGCCGAAAGGAGCCUGCGGCUGUGACGCAAGCAGCCACGUCCCUUGCUGCAGUUUCUCCGCUGGACUAUCAGGACCAUGAAUGCAGAGCUGAAAAAAAAAAUCCGACAAAGUUCCACAGGCUGGACUACCAGCACCACGAAGAUCCGGGCUAUCAGUACCAUGAACGCAGAGCUGAGAAAAAUGACAAAGUCCCACAGGCUGGACUACGAGCACCACGAGGAUCUGGACUACCAGGACCACGACACUCGUGGUGGCUGCAAUGGUUGCUAUAACUCAGGGGUGGGGGGUGGGAUGCUUAAGUGUGGGUGCCUGUGUUAACCUGGAGGUUGAGGUUGUGGAAAUCAGGGGUAGGUGGUGCAUGAAGGGAUCCGGGUCAGGGUAAUCCAUGGCUGGGCGAGCGGGGUCAGAUGGCCACUGGGCCGGCGGUGUAAAUAGACGUUAGCAGUCAAGUGUAGACUGCAGAGGUUCGUGACUGGGUCGAGGUGCGACUGAAUGAUGGCCAGGGCAGGGACUGGCCCACGUACAUGGGUGAAAGGGGUUUGCGGCAAAGUCGGCUACCCACCCGACCCGUCAGACCAAGGAGUCUAACGCACACGGGAGUCAGAGGGCUCACUCGAAACCCCGAGGCACAAUGAAAGUGAAGGCCGCUGUGCCGGCCGAGGUGGGAUGCCAAGCCCGUGCAGCCCCUGGUGCACCACUGGCCCGUCUCGCCCUCUCCGUCGAGGAGGUGGAGCCAGAGCUCGUGCAAUAGGACCCAAAAGAUGGUGAACUAUGCCUGGGCAGGGUGAAGCCAGAGGAAACUCUGGUGGAGGCCCGUAUCGGUUUUGAGGUGCAAAUCGGUUGUCCAACCUGGGUAUAGGGGUGAAAGACUAAUCAAACCAUCUAGUAGCUGGUUCCCUCCGAAGUUUCCCGAAGGAUAGCUGGCGCUCGGAGACUCACAGUUUUAUCUGGUAAAGCGAAUGAUUAGAGGUCUUGGGGCCGAUACGAUCUAAACCUAUUCUCAAACUUUAAAUGGGUAAGAAGCCCGGCUCACUGGUUUGGAGCCAGGAGUGGAAUGUGAGCGGCCACGUCGGCCACUUUAGGUAAGCUGAACUGGCGAUGGGACGAACGCCGGGUUAAGGUGCCCGAUGCCAAUGCUUAUCAGACCCCGGAAAAGGUAUUGGUUGAUAUAGACAGCAGGACCGUGGCCAUGGAAGUCGGAAUCCGCUAAGGACUGUAUAACAACUCACCUACCGAAUCAACUAGCCCUGAAAAUGAAUGGCGCUGGAGCGUCGGGCCCAUACCCGGCCGUCGCAAGCAACAGGAGCCGUGAGGAGUAGGAGGCCGGCCGCAGUGAGCAUGGAAGCCUGGGGCGCAAGCCUGGGUGGAGCCACAGUGGGUGCAGAGCUUGGUGGUAGUAGAAAAUAUUCAAAUGAGGACUUUGAAGGCCAAAAUGGAAAAAGGUUCCAUGUAAACAGCAGUUGAACAUGGGUCAGCGGGUCCUAAGGGAUGGGCGAACGCCAUUCGGAAGUGCGGGGCAAUGGCCUAUGUCGCCCCCAGCCGAUCGAAAGGGAGUCGGGNNNNNNNNNNNNNNNNNNNNNNNNNGCGUCCAGUGCGGUAACGCAAAAGAACCUAAAGAAGCAGGCAGGAGCCCCAGGGAGAGUUCUCUUUUCUUCAUGAAGGGCAGGGCGCCCUGGAAUGGGUUUGCUUCGAGAGAGGGGCCCGCGCCCUGGAAAGCGUUGCGGUUCCUGCGGCAUCUGGUGAGCUCUCACUGGCCCUUGAAAAUCCGGGGGUGAAGGUGUAAAUUUCACGACAGGCCGUACCCAUAUCCGCAGGUCUCCAAGGUGAACACUGAACAGCCUCUGGCGUAAGAAGAAGUAGGAGAAAAUGGGCACCAGGUGGAAGCUUUUAGGGCCAUCUUCAAUACAUCAUUUAUUGGCACCGCCCGUGUGGUGUUCUUGAUGCCCCUGCAAUGUCCUCAGGUGGGAGCAGAGGUACACCGUGCGUACAUGUGUACCCCUCGUGAUGCGCUGAAUUUUAAAAUCCACUAGAUGGCGACGCAUGCAUGUAUAAUGAAUUUUUAGGUAUUUUAAGGUUUUCUGGGGGUCUGCCAUUGUGGGGGAGGGGCUCUGAGGUCCAGGAAGUGGAAGCAAAGGGGCACAACAUUAACAUAUGAUGGCUGUACCCUGACCCUGGGACCCCAAUGCUACGGAUGGACCCCCGUGGGCCCCCGUGACCUUUCAUGACCUUUCAGGUUUUUCGCGGGUUUAAAAGCCUUCCCGUGGUCGGAUUUGGAAGAAACUCGCACAGGGGCUUUUCCCGGAUGCCCUUGACCUAAUGCCGUUAGUGUGUUGCUAACCAGAAGUAGCCACUACAAGGUCCUGAGAGCUGGGCUUUGGUACAUCUGUAGUGCCUGGGGAGAGGGUGUAGCACGACAAGUUUGGCUCUGAUCGGACGGUUGCACAAAGUGUUUAGUUAAUAAGAUGCGUGGUUUUCUUAUUUUACUCUGCAACACAUUAUGUGUGUGCAGAGUAAGCCUAUUAAGCAAAACAUUUGCUGUUUCUCCUACAAAUUUAACAAAACAUACCCGACAUGUUAUUAAAUAAACACAAUUGUGCCUUUCCAGUACUCCUCUUACUGCAGGGACGUGAUAGACCACAAGAGUGGUAGGAUUUUGGAGCCAUUGUUGGUGCUGGAACACCAACAAUGUCGUAGCUGCAGCUUUGUUUUGCUGUAAUUGGGAGGUGAAGGGAGGCUCCUUGUUGAUUAUUGGCUUCAGUGUUUUCUGCAGGAACCAAAGCU